UACGGAGGGUGCAAGCGUUAAUCGGAAUUACUGGGCGUAAAGCGUGCGUAGGCGGUUCGUUAAGUCUGCUGUGAAAGCCCCGGGCUCAACCUGGGAAUGGCGAUGGAUACUGGGCAGCUAGAGUGUGUCAGAGGAUGGUGGAAUUCCCGGUGUAGCGGUGAAAUGCGUAGAGAUCGGGAGGAACAUCAGUGGCGAAGGCGGCCAUCUGGGACAACACUGACGCUGAAGCACGAAAGCGUGGGGAGCAAACAGG
rnacentral:rRNA from 1 species